rnacentral:rRNA from 1 species
AUUGAACGCUGGCGGCAGGCCUAACACAUGCAAGUCGAGCGAGCGGCGGACGGGUGAGUAAUGUCUGGGAAACUGCCUGAUGGAGGGGGAUCACUACUGGAAACGGUACCUAAUACCGCAUACCAUCAACUGUGCCCAGAUGGGAGUAGCUAGUAGGUGGGGUAACGGCUCACCUAGGCGACGAUCCCUAGCUGGUCUGAGAGGAUGACCAGCCACACUGGAACUGAGACACGGGCCAGACUCCUACGGGAGGCAGCAGUGGGGAAUAUUGCACAAUGGGCGCAAGCCGGAUGCAGCCAUGCCGCGUGUGUGAAGAAGGCCUUCGGGUUGUAAAGCACUUUCAGCGGGGAGGCGUGACCCGCAGAAGAAGCACAGGCUAACUCCGUGCCAGCAGCCGCGGUAAUAC